rnacentral:rRNA from 1 species
GACGAACGCUGGCGGCGUGCUUAACACAUGCAAGUCGAACGGAAAGGCCCUGCUUGCCGGGUACUCGAGUGGCGAACGGGUGAGUAACACGUGGGUGAUCUGCCCUGCACUUCGGGAUAAGCCUGGGAAACUGGGUCUAAUACCGGAUAGGAGCCAUUUUUAGUGUGAUGGUUGGAAAGUUUUUCGGUGUAGGAUGAGCUCGCGGCCUAUCAGCUUGUUGGUGGGGUAAUGGCCUACCAAGGCGGCGACGGGUAGCCGGCCUGAGAGGGUGGACGGCCACAUUGGGACUGAGAUACGGCCCAGACUCCUACGGGAGGCAGCAGUGGGGAAUAUUGCACAAUGGGCGCAAGCCUGAUGCAGCGACGCCGCGUGGGGGAUGACGGCCUUCGGGUUGUAAACUCCUUUCGCUAGGGACGAAGCUUUUUGUGACGGUACCUAGAUAAGAAGCACCGGCUAACUACGUG